UAACAAUGAAAAUAUUUUUUCGAAGUAAUACAAUGUCGUGGUAGUAAAUAGUGGAUGGUAACACUGGUGUUAUCCCGGCCACGUCAGCAGCUGCAGCUCUACUAGCAGCCACGUCAGACGUAUCAUGACUCAUGUACCAAUGGCGUUCUUAUAGUUGUAUACGUCUCUAUAACCUAUAUUAACAUAUUUUAUUCAUUUAUGAAUUUCCAAAUUUUCAAUGCGUAAUUUAUAGUCUUACAAUUUUCUUUAUCCUUGUUUUUAAACUUUACUGGACUUGAAUACUUUAUAGCGGACUAGAGUACUAGAAUCUGGAAAAAUAGUAAGUUCUAAACUGUGACUGAAAUACCUACAAAACAUUCUGUGCUGAGUGCUUUUAAGUUUUGACGACAUCUGUGGAUCACCACCUUUUGAUUGACAACAGUCAGGUUCGAAAGUUUAUAUAGAUCAUUGUCUGCUGUCUUUAUUUGAAAAAUCAAUUGUUAAAUAAUAUUUCAAACUAUGAGUUCGUCAUCAUUGGAUGUAUUUUGUCCCAAACAUGAAGACUCAGAAGCAACAAUAUCUAUUAUAACAAAGAUUUUAUCACAAAACGACAAUUUAAAAUUUACACAUAUCUCCAAUGAAUUUGACAAACUAGGCAUUAAAAAGGUUAAAGAUUUGGCUGGAGCAACCCUUAGCAAAGCGAGCUCAAUCAACAUUUCUGGAGAUACUCUGACUCAACUUUAUGAAGCUAUGGAGAUAUAUAGCAAACGCCUAGAUAACCUUUUAACAAUGGCAAAAAAAGAACAUCAAGGUGGAGAUUUCACAACAGCCCAAAGAAUAUGUACAAGUUUAAUUACACAUAAAUCGAGAGAUAUGAAUGUUCUACUGCUUACAGCUAGUACAUUUUUUAGUAGUCAACAUUUUGAUGAAUGUAUUGGCUACCUAGAACAAGCAAAAAGUAUUAACCCCAAAUGUUCCGAAGUUUUGAGGAACUUUGGAUUGGUUUAUAUGAGAAAAUCCCAAAACAACUUAGCAAAACAAUACUUAUUUCAAGUAUGUGCAAUAAAACCGUAUUGUUGCGAUGCAUGGACAGAUUAUGGAGACUUCUUGUUCGAAAACAAAGAUUUUGUGACAUCCAAAGAUUGUUAUUUCCGGGCUAUGUGUCUAAAGCCCGAAUUGCAUGGAGCACGUAAUAAGUACGGAAAAGUACUUUUAAAAUUAAAUAAAAUAAAAGAGGCUAAAAAGGAGUUUAAGAUUGCCCACAAAAGCGCAAAAGAAUGUCCAGAAACAUUAAACAAUUUAGGAGAUGCAUAUUAUAAGAGCGGUAAAUUUGGAAAAUCUAUUUUGAAAUAUAAACAACUCUUAGAAACAAACCCCAAUCGGACGAACGCUUGUUUUCAGUUGGGAAUGGCGUACUUAAAACUUGAAGACUACCAUAAUGCAGCUGAUGCAUUUAAGAAGGUAAUAAUACUCGAUCCCAAAAAUGUAUUAUUUUUGAAAAAACUAGCAGUUACAGUAGAUAUUUACCAAAAAUGUUUGAACCUCAAGCCUGAGGACUUUGAUUUAAAUUUGGAACUCGCUUUAAUGUAUUUCAAUAACAUUCAAAAUUAUCAUGAAGCUGUAAUAUAUCUUAAAAAAUGUAGUCAAUUAAAUCCGGGUAGAAUUGACAUAUACAAAAAGCUUUUUGAAACAUACGGAGAAACUAAAGAUCAUUUAAAUGCAUCCGAUGCUUGCAUGUCCAUGGGGAAUUUGUAUCUGGAGAAGGAUGAUUAUAAAAAUGCAAGAAACUCAUUCUGUUGUGCGGUACUUAUGAACCCGAGGAAUGCAUUUGGUCAUUGGGAAAUGGGCCUGACAUUGUAUCAACUGGGACAUGAGGAAUUGGCUUUUAAAAAGUAAUAAUUAUUCAACACGAUUAUAAGUUUAAAAUUUGCUCUAAGCAUUCUCCUAAUAAUUUUUAAAUUGGUAAAAUUUUACGCUUUUCUCUUACUUCAAUGACCUUUUUAAUGUAUAUUAUACAAGUUACAAUAAGAAACAUAUGUGUAGGUAAUAGGUAUGUGACGUUUACUUAAAUCUCAAAACAAAUUUAUAAUAUUUACAUUUACCAUUUAAUAGUGUGCUUAAACUUUAAAAGAAUAUGUAAUGUACAUCUUUUCUUUGGUAAAUUAUUUAAAAUCAGUCAAAUUUAAAACAAUUUAAAAAAAUUAAUUCUUUAUGAACAAUAAUAUACAAUUUUCUUAAGUAUGAAUUAUAGGUUUAAUUCUGUAAUGGACAAUAUAUGUAACAUGGCCUUCUCGAACAAGCCAAAGUAUUUUAUGAAAUGGCAAUCAAGUUAAGUCCAGACGACCAUGACAACGCUCGGUUAAUUUGGCCGAUAUGUCAAUGAAAAAAACGGAUCUUGAUGACGCUAUGACAAACAAUGAAAAGCAAUAGAAUAUGACAAUACACCUGUCAAGUAGAUGUUAAUUUGAUAUUCCACAUCUUCAAACGACAAUAAUUCAUCCUGGUAAUAAUGAAACAAUUUCUUAAAGACACGGAUUUAAUUAUGGUGUGUUUUACUGUUUUCCAAAUUUUUAGAAAUGAAUAAUUUGUAGUUUAACUUACUGAUUUACUAAAUUCUUCAAAAGCAUUUUGUUAACUAGUAUUAUUAUCAUGUGCUUUACUUAUACAUUUAAUGAUCUAUCCAUUAUAAUUGAUAUUAAUAUUAAUCAUGUAAUAUAUUUUUUUGAUUUCAAGUUUAAUUAUGUUGAACACCAUAAAGAUUUGUCUCAACCCAGGAAAUAUUGAUGUUUUUUGUAAUAUUUAUUUAUAACAAAUUAACUAAAAUUGUAAUUUUUGGUUUUAAUAUAUAAUUUUUUUAACUUAAAAUGUCUGUAAAAAUAACUGUGUUUAUAUAAGUUUUAGAUUAUUAGGUAACAGUGUGAGAUUUGUUGUUUUAAAUUUUCAAACCUUAGUUUUAAAAAUUGAACAUUUUAUAAUUUUUUAACUACUAUAAAUUUGAAAGUUUUUCAUAUUUUGUCUAUUUGUAAUUUAUUUAUAGAAAAUGAUUAUCGUUUGAGAAUAAGUUAAUAUACCGGUUUUUGAUUA
rnacentral:misc_RNA from 1 species